AAGGAAUAAGCACCGGCUAAUUCCGUGCCAGCAGCCGCGGUAAUACGGAAGGUGCAAGCGUUAUCCGGAAUCACUGGGUUUAAAGGGUGCGUAGGCGGUUGCGUAAGUCAGAAGUGAAAGCUCACAGCUUAACUGUGGAAUUGCUUUUGAUACUGCGCGACUAGAAUCAGGUUGAGGUUGGCGGAAUGUGACAUGUAGCGGUGAAAUGCAUAGAUAUGUCAUAGAACACCAAUUGCGAAGGCAGCUGACUGGACCUGUAUUGACGCUGAGGCACGAAAGCGUGGGGAGCGAACAGGAUUAGAUACCCUGGUAGUCCACGCCCUAAACGAUGCUUACUCGAUGUGUGAAUUAUUGCGCAUCCAAGGGAAACCGUUAAGUAAGCCACCUGGGGAGUACGUUCGCAAGAAUGAAACUCAAAUGAAUUGACGG
rnacentral:rRNA from 1 species